rnacentral:rRNA from 1 species
UACGUAGGCAGCAAGCGUUGUUCGGAGUUACUGGGCGUAAAGAGUGCGUAGGUGGUGCCCUAAGUCUGUUGUGAAAUCUCCCGGCUUAACUGGGAGGGUGCGGUGGAAACUGGGGUGCUUGAGUGUGGGAGAGGUAAGCGGAAUUCCUGGUGUAGCGGUGAAAUGCGUAGAUAUCAGGAGGAACACCGGUGGUGUAGACGGCUUACUGGACCACGACUGACACUGAGGCACGAAAGCGUGGGUAGCAACAGA